rnacentral:rRNA from 1 species
GAUGAACGCUGGCGGCGUGCCUAAUACAUGCAAGUCGAGCGAACAGAUGAGGAGCUUGCUCCUCUGACGUUAGCGGCGGACGGGUGAGUAACACGUGGAUAACCUACCUAUAAGACUGGGAUAACUUCGGGAAACCGGAGCUAAUACCGGAUAAUAUAUUGAACCGCAUGGUUCAAUAGUGAAAGACGGUUUUGCUGUCACUUAUAGAUGGAUCCGCGCCGCAUUAGCUAGUUGGUAAGGUAACGGCUUACCAAGGCAACGAUGCGUAGCCGACCUGAGAGGGUGAUCGGCCACAGGGGAACGGAGACACGGUCCAGACCCCUCGGGGGGGCACCAGUAGGAAAUCUUCCGCAAGGGGCGAAGGCCUGAGGGAGAAACGCGGGGGGAGGAAGAAAGGUUUUCGGAUCGAAAAACUUUGUUAUUGGGGAAAAAAAAAUGUGUAAGAAAAUAUGCACUUCUGGACGGUACCAAAUCAAAAAGCCAGGGCUAACUACGUC